CACAUACAUAAUAAAAUACGACAUGGUAAAUUUUAAUCAAAUUACCAGAAUUGAUGUGGUGCUGAAAUGGAUCCCGAAGUGUCACCCGGCACGCGCUUUUGUUUAGGCGAUUAAUUGAAAAACGAAACCUAUAAUCUACUGAGACCACUGCACUGUGAAACUGUGUAGGGAUUGGAUUAUACUUAUGGCGAUUUUCUUGAGUUAGCGAUUCGCUAUGUGCACUUUUCGCGUAAUUCGGCUCAUAUUUUAACCAGACGAUAGUAUUAAUAUUUAUUGCGAAUGAUGAUCCAACGGAGAUAGCUUGAUAAUACGUUUUGAAUAAUUUAAAGGUCUUAAUGGACUGGCCAUUUGUUUUGUGAAUAAUUUAACGAUGAUCAUAUUAUUA